UCUUCGAUAGCUCAGUUGGUAGAGGGGAGGACUGUAGGUUGAUAGUUGCAGGCAUCCUUAGGUGGCUGGUUUAAUUCCUCGCCUCGAAGUA
rnacentral:tRNA from 1 species